CGGCGGACGGGUGAGUAACGCGUAGGAAUCUACCCGGUAGUGGGGGACAACAGUCGGAAACGACUGCUAAUACCGCAUACGCCCUAAGGGGGAAAGCAGGGGAUCUUCGGACCUUGCGCUAUCGGAUGAGCCUGCGUCGGAUUAGCUUGUUGGUGGGGUAAUGGCCUACCAAGGCGACGAUCCGUAGCUGGUCUGAGAGGAUGAUCAGCCACACUGGGACUGAGACACGGCCCAG
rnacentral:rRNA from 1 species